rnacentral:rRNA from 1 species
AACUCUGUUUUUAUAAUGUUUUUUCUGAGUAAACAAGCAAAUAAAUU